CCGUGGUUAGCCUAGAGGUCAGGCACUUGAUUUGGGAUCAAGACGACGAAGGUUCGAUCCCUUCAUCACGGA
rnacentral:tRNA from 1 species